rnacentral:rRNA from 1 species
GUUUUAUACUGCAUUCAAUGUAUAUUUUUAAGUAUAUAAAUUUUUCUUUUUUUGUAGUAUUUCAUUGGGGUGAUGAAAAGAUAAGUUUAACUCUUUUUUUAUUCAAACAUUUAUAUUUGACUUUUUGAUCCAUUAUUUUUGAUUACAAGAAUAAAU